AUUAUUAUGAACAAAGGCAACUUUCUUUUUUUAAAUCCUUGGCGCAUCAUAUACACAUGAACUACUAGAAUGCCAUUGCUCAAGCAAUUUAACAUACGAGUGAUGCCUAAUAAGAAUAACCAACAUCGUUAAUAUAAGCGAUGUCCGUUUAUCUGUCCGUCGUUCAAAUUUAAACCAAAGUUAAGAUAUGUAUGUAUAUGUAUAUGAUAAGAUCGAGAGAGCACCAUGUGCACAAGUAGUAGUUCAGUAGUACCUCAAUGCUAAAGUAUCAAAGACUAACGUUAAGUUGACCAUUUUAUUUGUUACAGAAUUACUGAUAAAGCUUUUUAAACAAAUGCCUACGUUAACGUUUAUUUCGUCAAGUUUACUAAAAUUUUAAAUUUUAUAUCGAUGUAAUUGUAUUAACAUUAACAGUAAAUUGAUACUUUUAAAGAGAA